CUCUCUUCUCUCUAUGUUCUCUCCAUUAAAGCCUCAACUCUUCUUCUUCUAGCGAUUCAUUGUAUCUUCGUCUCCUACAUCCUCCUCCGUUUCAACAUAUGAUUUCUGCUAUCUUAACAUGUCUAUAUCUUCUGGAAUUUAUAAUGAGAG